GCAGACCACACCUUGCCCCUUGGGGCUCCGGGAGGUUCUGAGCGUGGUUGGUGGGCUCACUUGGCGUUCUGGGUUUUUCCCACAGGAGGGAGCUGGUCAACAGUUCAGUCUAUGUAGCUGGUACAAGUCUUCUAGCUUCUCCAGCACAAGCCUGUUGGGGGACUUGUCGUGGUGCUGGACCCGGAUUGCCUCGCUCCUGUGUGGUUUCUGACGUG
rnacentral:lncRNA from 1 species